rnacentral:rRNA from 1 species
GACAGAGGAUGCAAGCGUUAUCCGGAAUGAUUGGGCGUAAAGCGUCUGUAGGUGGCUUUUCAAGUCCGCCGUCAAAUCCCAGGGCUCAACCCUGGACAGGCGGUGGAAACUACCAAGCUGGAGUACGGUAGGGGCAGAGGGAAUUCCGGUGGAGCGGUGAAAUGCAUUGAGAUCGGAAGAACACCGGUGCGAAGGCGGUCUGCUGGGUGAAUGCUGACACUGAUGCGCGACAGCGUGGGAGCAACAGG